CUGUGUCCCAGUUUGCAGUGCUUGUGCUCAGGUAACCUUUAUUUUACUUAAUAACGGCCCCAAAGUGCAAGAGUAGUGAUGCUGGCA